rnacentral:misc_RNA from 1 species
GAUGAAGAACGCAGCGAAAUGCGAUAAGUAGUGUGAAUUGCAGAAUUCAGUGAAUCAUCGAAUCUUUGAACGCACAUUGCGCCCCUUGGUAUUCCAUGGGGCAUGCCUGUUCGAGCGUCAUUUGUACCCUCAAGCUUUGCUUGGUGUUGGGUGUUUGUCCCGCGUUGCGCGUGGACUCGCCUUAAAGCGAUUGGCAGCCGGCAUAUUGGCCUUGGAGCGCAGCACAUUUUGCGCUUCUAGUCAUGAGUGUUGGCGUCCAUUAAGCCUAUACAUUUGCUCUUGACCUCGGAUCAGGUAGGGAUACCCGCUGAACUUAAGCAUAUCAAUAAGCGGAGGA